GUUGUUUUCUCUGACCUUGGUACCUUAUAACAAGAUACAAAUGUUCUUUCUUUUGGCAGUCCUCAUCUUUUGUUCUGCACCCCAUGUGUCUGCUUUCCUAUAAAUGCAUGGAGAACAAAGACUCCCUGCUGUUGAGUUUUAAAUUCCUCUCAGACCCAGAAAUGUGUCAUUCUCAAUGCAGAUACUGACUAAGUAUCUGACUAGUAAAUAAAUAUGCAAGCACAUUUUGCCUCAAGGACCAAAGAAUGGCCAGCUAGCUCAAUGAACACAAGGGUUCAAUUUAGUCUUCUGAUUGUUGUCUUUGAUCCUUCAUGUAUCUUAAUAUAGUAAUGAAUGAUUUAUAAACAGUUUCUGCAUGAGGUUUCUUUCUUAUUUUACAAGACCCAAUUUAAGUUUGAGUAGAUGACAUGGGUUCACUGUUUCUCUACAAUGUAGAAAAUUACAACAUGUAUCAAAGUAUCAUACCCACUAUUUCCCUAGGUAACCUAGGCUGUCCUGGAACUUGAAGUCCUUGGGCUCUGAAGUGGUAAUGGUAUACGUGUGUACCAUCCUACUCAGCCAUCUGAGUCUUAAAGUACAAAAAAGUCUUAAGUAUAAAAAGGUAUUUUUUGGUAAACUAUUUCAUUAUAUUUGCUAUUACAGGAUAUUUAAGAGAUGCAAUUUGCCACCAUCUCAAAAGUCAGCAGUAACAGGACCCCCGUUGAAGGAAUCAGAGAAAGAACUGGAAGACCUUGAAGGGGCUUGAGACCCCAUAUGAACAACAAUGCCAAGCAACCAGAGCUUCCAGGGACUAAGCCACUACCUAAAGACUAUACACGGACUGACCCUGGACUCUGACCUUAUAGAUUCUUCUGAACUUGGAUAUGUGCUGUGGGAAGAAAAGUGAGAGGGCUAGGCCCAGGUCUUUUCAAAUCUUCAAUAUGGAUGGCUCUUCCUGAAUCAGGCAUCUCUGACCCAAAUCAGAUCCACUGGCUUUGCUGUCACCUGCCAAUAGCUGAAGAUGUGCGGUUUCUCCAACUGACGAGUCUUGUGGAAGUUCCUACUGCCUUCAAGAUGCUGAAAUGAGAUAUGGCCAGUGACAGAGGAAUCAAGCAGCCAUUGAGAAUAGCAAUGACAAUUCUCUAUCAUCUCCCCUUCUCACCAGACCAUUGAACAAAAUUGAUUCCAAGUAGAUGAAGCUGUGUUUUCUUGUCACUGGGAACAGCCAAUUAGAGAGAAGAAAGGCACCAGAGCUGCUGGUGCAGGAGCAUUUAGGUGGAGUUUCUGAUACAGCUGCGUGUCCUCUGCUUCUCAGAGGUCAACACUCUUUGACCCACUGUCUUUUCUGGCUACUGGAGUUAUGAAAACGCUCAUGUUCUCAGACAGGUUUGUGUUUAAAAAGAGAUCCCAGGACCAUAGAUUGUAACUAUUUCUAAAUUGUAACUGCUUUUAAUUGACGUGUACCAAUGGCACAUAUUUGCAGGACUAAUUCUGCUGCUAUCACAAGCAGGCUCUCAUUGCAGGAUAAUGAAAUCUGGGCAUUAAGCAUCUCCAUUGGCAUCUGGGCAUUUAGCAGUAUCUUAUUGCUUGGUGCACGGAUUGCUUUAUUGCUUCUUUGCAAUGAAGACAGAAAUGAGGAUGUAGAAUGUUUUUGAAAUAUCCAAUACAAUAUUAGUAGCCCAAGUCACACAGCUGUUUAUGCUAUAUGUGCCACCUAGCACAGCAAGACCGUCUUCUGUUAAAUCAGAGACAGGCCUGAAGAACUCGCACCUCCCUUUCAACUCGUGGAUGAGCAAAUCACAGGUCAAAGUUCUCCUAUCAGCUGUUAAGUCGUAGGUGACUUCGAAGUGCUCUGGCUGUUUUUGUCUCAUGUUUUUCUGACCCCUUCUGACAGGUAACAGUCACAUUGGUUUUGGUGACUCACUCUACCUCUCAGGUACUAACAUGGAAACCACUGUAAAUGUCAGUACACUGACUCUUCUUAUUACUACUGGAAGUGCACUUUGGUAGAAGAUGUAACCCAGAUCCUGGAGACAGAUAUUCCUGGGCAGCAUUUGUAAAACUCCACAACUCCCCACCACCCAUCUAUCAUCACUCCCUGCUUAGCCGGCUAGGUGAAGUUUGGUUCAGGCAGGAGAAAUUUAAAGAAUCCCAGAAACAAAUUAAAGUCUUAGUCUAUGAUGGCUUCCUGACACAAAGGCUACAUGGUGUCUGCCUUGUUCUUCUGGGUCAGUCUCCUUUUAUUGGCACCACGUAUGGCAAGUAUAUGCCUGCUUUAUUUCUGUGACUCAGUUUCUAUUGUGCCCCCAAGUCUUAUGUUAUCAUCCACUUGUCAUCAAAAAUUACUGUUUCCCUCAUCCCCUAUCAAACGCACUUGGUAUUACACGUGUAUCUUUCUGGCUAGUGUCUGGAACUUUGCCACAUCUCUAGAGUGCAUAAACCUAGGCUGUGUUUUCCAUUUACCAAACUGCACAUCUGUCAGGAGACCUGAGAGCUCUGUCAGGACAAAUAGCCUAGACACUUGAAAUGUCUUCAUGCCUGAUGCUCUGGAUACUUCAACCCUUUGACGGGUGUGUCUGUUUUUUAGGAACCAGCACUAUCCAACAGAGGAGACUAUUUUUGGGUCCCAAACAUGUGCUUCUUAGUGUUGUGGACCGUGACCUGAGCUAGGACACAGAGGAGGGAUAAGACUCCUAAGAAGCUAGCUUUCUGUCAUUGUGUCAGACUUCUAUGUGCAUUUUCUGUAUGGUCUGGAUCUGACAUCUGUCAAUCAUGUACAAAUGUGGAAAGAUUUGAGGGGAGACAUAUCCACAUGAGAAGAAAAAUAUGAUAAUAUUUCACAGAUAUAAUAUUCACAGAGGCAAGCUAAUGGGCAGCGCCUUCUGCCCUUUGGGUAGUUCUGUUAGGAGUACUUGCUGGCACCGUUGUUCUAUCUCUAAUACCUUACUUUGUCCCAAGAAAUGUCUGAAGGUGGGAAUCGAAAAACAAUUUUAAGAAGGGGGAAUCUGUGUGGUGAAGAAAAUAAGCUCAGGUAACGCUGGACCCAAAAACGUUUAUUUGCUGCACAGGCCCACUUAUCAUGACCUAUGUAUGCUGCUGCCUCUUAGGUGAUCAGGGUCAUGGAUAAGAGGCCAGGUAUGUCAAACUGGUAGUGACAUCCACAGACAAUAGGAGCUGCAACUGACUUGGAAGCUCUUCGAGUUAGUGCCUGUCAGGUAAGAUAUUGAAGAUAACCUUGAUCACCGAACCUCCAUAAUCCUAGAGUUCCUUCCCUUAUCCUCAGUGGUCACAAUUUAGGGGAUGAUAAUCAGAAGCUCUGUGUGAAUCCCAGGGAUCUCUCCUUUCCUGGAGACUUCUCUGGCUUAGAUCAGAUUGUGAAUAAGUCAAAAAGUCCAUCUCUGUGUGCUUUCUGUGGUGGUCUGGUGUGGCAGGUGCCAUCACCCAGUGCCUUCCAGGAUCCCUUCAGGUUGAAGACUGCCAGCUAGAGUUCAUCAGCCUUUUUUAGGCUUCACAUCAUCAGAGCCCUCAGGCUGUGGAGGUGAUGUUAACAGAAAGUUUACAGAGGGUACUAUUUUACACCAUUGGGCCUAGAGUAAGGUAGGUGACUUUCAUUAUCUUUUCUGCUCUCCUUUAUGACCUCUCCAGUGUCCCCUUCAGUCAUAUAGUAGCUUGCUUGCAAGCAUCCUUUCUCCUAAACUCUUGUAACUCAUUUGCCCCAUCCCCACUUUGUGAAGACAGGAUCCUCCUAGCUAUUUUCUGAGACACAACCUCUCUCAGACUUUUUCCUCACCUAGUCUACCAUUGUUCAGGGAUUCGCACCCACUACACUUUCCUACCCAAUGAGCUUCUAUAUAGUUAGAGUAGCCAUUUGGAAUAGAAACUUUGGAGCUUCACAGUGGAUUUUAUACUUUCACUAUCAAUGCUAUUUUAUGUACUCAUGGACUAUCACAAAUGAAAAAUCCAUGACAGAAUUAGAACAAGAAAACCAAUUAGCUCUAUAGCCUGAUUUUAUAACCCAUGUUCAUUAUCUACAUUGCUACAUUGAACUUUUCCCCAUCUCCUUUAUUCAGUCUUUCUUGUUUUCUCUUCUACACGUUACACUAUACCACAUGCUAAUUAGUUUUCUCUUGACUUGUCCAUCUAGCUGCCAGGAUCAAUUCCUUACUGCACAUGUCCAACCUGACCAUUACAUAUUGGUACCUUGAUUUCAAACACCUAGGAAAGGGUUUUUUUUCCUAUCCACUGAGUUCUAAGACAACCAGCAUUCUGCUGAAAACCCAAGCCAACUUCUCAUUCUCCAGAAGCAUCGAAGCACUUUAAAAGGAAUGUCUAAAUCAUCUGGUCUAUUAAGGCAUCAAAUUCCUCCACAAAUUGUACCAGACAUUUUUUCAUUGUGGAGAAACAGGGAUUUUGCAAAGAUGUCAAACCACAUAAGGCAGCAGGCACAACACAGCAUCAAAGACAUAAUUUGUGCUUGUCGUUCUGGGAGGCAGAAGUUACUAGGAACAUACUCAGAGAAUGAAGCAAAAUACAAACACCGAGAGCAGCUCUGCCAUGAUGGACAGGUAAGAGUUACUGUAGUAACUGCUGCACGUGCACAUCUACUUUUUCUAUCUCAUGCACAAAACAAGGCAGAUAAAAUCAGGAGAGCUCUGGUCAAAGGCUUACACUAAAACAUACAAUGUGCUUAAACUGGACAUUACAGUGCCUAAAUACUGAAAUCAUUGUGUAAUGGAAAUUAAAGUAACAAAGCAGGUGAAGACGAUAAGGAGAACGCAGAGUAUUUCUGUGAUCAACAUGGAAGUGAUGUGUGCUGAUUUGUCUUUUCUUCCUAGAAGAGAUUCCUUAUGCAAUGGCUCAACUGCAAGGCACAGUGCAGUUUAACAUACAAGGGCUCUCAAUAAGAGUUCAUGCUAAUACUUACGAUAGAAUAAAACUCCAGUAUAAUUUUAGCAAUCUUAACCAAGGGAUGAGGAAUUAUGAUAAUUCUUUUUCUGAAGGACUGAUAACAGGGCAAGGUGGUGGAUAUCUGCAAUCUGAGCUUUAAUAUUGUAGAAACAGUAGGGACAUGAAUUUAUGUUCAGCCCAAGCUAUACAGCAUGUUUCAGAGUACAGGGAAAGACCAAGUCUCACAAAACUAUUAUAGCAGUUAUAUGUGAUAACUGGCCAUGCAUCUGUCUAUGUUUGUAUCCAUCCAUUCAUCUAUCCACCCAGUUCUAUCAAUUUUGUCCUUAUCGUAAUUCUAUAAUAUUAACUGAUACCAAGAGAAACAGCACAUCAUUAUCUUGAAACAAUAUGAGGAUACUUUAAAACAGAGUUUAGACCAGAUAAUAAACAAUAUUUACUUUAGAUUAUUUAUAAAAUAAUCUCUGCACAAAUAUAUGCAUACUCUUUUAGAAGCUGCUUCUGGAUCUAUCCUCUGCCCUUCUUUUUUUCCAAGGCUGGUUGAGAGGAUUCAGGGUCCCCACCAAUGGGAAACCAGCAUCGUGUUCUAGCUGUGAGGAGAGCAGCCAAAUGUGUCCUGACGUUCAGGUGGAUUUGUGCAACAGGAUACUUGCCAGUCAUGAGCAGCAAACACGGUUCCAUUAAUCCACUUUAAGGCAAUGACUGAGACCGUGAUUCAACCUAAGUCUGCCUCACUUGCCCAAUAAUUCACUUUGUUGAUCAUUAUCCUGAAUGCCAUUUUAAUUCUGCUGAGCUCACAGAAUUACAAAGGCAGUUAAUGCCUAUGAUUUAAUUUUUUCUUUUUCCAUUUUAAUGUGUGCGUGUACAUGUUAUACAUAUGCAUAUAAGAGUUCAAAAUUGAUGCCAGGAAUCAAUCUCAACCAUUCUUCCACCUUUCUCCCUGGAGACAGUUCCCAGUCAAACUCCUACUGUUGCUAGGAUGCUUGUUGUGGGAUCCUUUCUAUCUUUCAAACCUGCUGUCCAGAGGCACAUUUCCCCACCCAAUACUUACUGCAAUCUUUCUAACCUAUCUUUCAUGGUGAUGAUCCCCGAUCUUUAGAGGGGGCAACAUACAUAUCUUAUUUAGAGCCCAACACACCUUACUAUCCCUUAGUUUUGACAUAUUAUGUGUUUGUUCAUUAACCACUGUCUGCUUCAAGAAUAAGCUUCCCUGAUCAUGGCUGAACACAGCACUAAUCUAUGAAUACCAACAUGAACAUUUAGAAGGUAACUGGACAUCAUGACCAUUUAGCAAAAUAUUAGCAUUUUCUAGGAUAGGGCCUAUUACUAAGCUCGAGGACAAGGGAUGAAUUCCUUCCUGUGGAGUGGUCUCAAAUCAGAACAGCAAGAAAUUGGUUACUCUCAUAAGAGUCAUGCGACUGCAGCACACUAAUGUUUAUUGUCCCUAGCUGGCCAUCACUCACAGGAUUCAUAGUUGGGUAAAACUUUUCUCUUCCCAGCAGGGUGCAUCGCCUAUCACAGCAUCAAAAAGUCUAGCUAGAAUAGAAGAGGCAUCCAGCUUAGCCCCAGCUGGAUUUAUUUUUUGUCUUGUGACCAAAGUAUAUAGUGUCUACAGAUAGGGUCUUACCAUCAAGUUCUUGUGGGCCUCUAAGAGCCUAUCUCGUUUGGGAGGCCUCUGCCAACCACCCAUGCUCCAACCAACAACUCAUAAGGAAAUGUCCCCCCCUCCAGCACUGAGAGUUUUUAUUGACUAACCUAUGACUUUUGAGAAGAGCAUUAUCCUUCUUUUGGGUAACAGAUAUUCAAACUCUAGUUUUUAGAUUAUAUUUUUGAUAAACCUAUAUAUGCAUAAAUUGGGUUACCAUGCCUCUCCCCUUGUCUUUUUCCUAUCCUAGACUCAACUCCCUGCCUACAUAUUUAUUUUUAAAGCUGUUUCCUGCUCCUCUUCUUUCAGGCCUGAUGCUUUCUGCUCCACCACAUAGCUUGGUCUAAGGGGCUCUUUCCAUCCUCUGGACUCUUACCAGCAUUAAAUAGUACUCACACUCUUCUGAAGAGUUAGACAUAGGAUCUACUUAUGAGGGAGUGCAUGUGGUACUUGCAUUGCUGAGCCUGGGUGAUCUCCCAGAUCCAUCCAUUUUCAUGCAAAAUUUCUUCUUUACUGCUAAAUAAAACUCCAUUGUGUAUAUGUAUUGCAUUUUCUUUAUCUAUUCAUCAGUUGAAGAACAUCAAGGCUGAUACCAUUUUCCCACUGUUGUGAAUAGAACUGCAAUGAAUGCAGAAGUGGCAAUAUGUCUUUUGUAUGGUAUGGA